rnacentral:rRNA from 1 species
AUUGCAGAAUUCAGUGAAUCAUCGUAAUCUUUGAACGCACCUUGCGCCUCUUGGCUAUUCCGAGGGGCAUGCCUGUUUGAGUAUCAUG